UUUCAAUGUAAUUUUUUAGACAUUACUGUACUAGUGCUCAUAAAGUUUACUAUACAAAUACUAUAAAUUAUUAAAACGUUCUGUAUUUUUGCUGUUUUUCUACUGUCGUCGAUGAUCCAAUGAUCCACAAUGUGAAUUGGUUGAAAAUUAAUUUGUAUGUUUAUGAUCUAGUCUGUGAUGCAAAGCGCCGGAUGGCCGCGUGGUAAAGCUGUGGCUUACCACCCUGGAGGGCCCCAUACCUCCAGUUUCUCGAGGGAUCCGGGCCCGGCUUUGAACCUCAUUCUUCACAGUCUGGCCAAUGAGCCCAACACAGUCCCAUUGGCCAGCCUGUGUUGGCUCUAUAAAUGGCCGCUGUCAGAUACAGAAUAUCUCUCGUGCGAUAUGGCGGCUUAACUAAUCUAACCUAACCUAACCUAUGAUGCAAAGCGUCUCUGUAGUUUUAGGAGCCCCGGACAUCAAAAAUUUCGAGAUUUUUGUGUUUAUAUGUGUG
rnacentral:lncRNA from 1 species